rnacentral:lncRNA from 1 species
AGGUGAUUUCUAAAAAAAGAGAUCAGAAGAACCGGGAGAAGAUGGUGGAUCCAUCUUGGAGCGAUCGAGAAUAUUUUCGGGUAAGGCGAGAGAGAAGAGAAGAGGAAAGUGAAAUCCCUAAAAGGCAGCGUGGAAGGAAAGAGGAAAGUGUGGAAGGGAGGCAAAGAAAAAACACCUUGCUUCGUUGCCUUCGUUUUUU